CAACUACUCCCUUCGUCCGAAAAUACUUGUCGAAGAAAUGCAUAAAAAUGGAUGUAUCUAGAAUUAAAAUACGUCUAGAUACAUCCAUUCCUCCGACAAGUAUUUCCGGACGGAAGGAGUACUAA
rnacentral:pre_miRNA from 1 species